CUAGCAGACAAUUAAAGGUAAAGGUUGGCGACAGAACUGCAGUUGUCACAGCUAAUGCAGAGACUGUGGCUGUUCAGCCUGUUGGUAUUCAAGAAGCCAUUAAUGCUGAAAUAGCAAAAUAUCCCCGAGGACGAUGUUUCAUUAGACCUUCUGGGACUGAGGAUGUUGUAAGAGUAUAUGCUGAAGCAACCACCCAGGAUGCUGCAGAUGCACUAGCCUCUUCAGUUGCAAGACUUGUGGAUCAGUAUCUCGGUUCUGGCUCUGCUUGAUUGAACUCACUAACAAAAUCGUACUCCG
rnacentral:misc_RNA from 1 species